rnacentral:sRNA from 1 species
UGCAACUCGUUUCGCCGCCCUGCAGUCCU